rnacentral:tmRNA from 1 species
UGGUUUCGACGGGGGUAGUGAGGCUGGAUAAGCGAGCCGUGGCGCCUGGCCACGAUAAAACGGGCAAUUUUUAAAUUUAACUGACAACAGAACUGUUGCUCUGGCUGCCUAAUUAGGCGCCCAUCCGCCCCGGAAGGUCCACGAGCCGGGCUCGGGUGUGAUUUGAGUGGAGUCCGUGCGUGCGCUAAGCGUUGCGCGCACCACGCAUCAUGACGCUACUGAUGCCGUAAGGGUGUUUGUUCCCGUAGGGCAAAGGGAAUGUAAAUAACAAACUGCGCUCGGAGAAAGUCUUGUCAAGUUGCCUUCG